GACGAACGCUGGCGGCGUGCUUAACACAUGCAAGUCGUACGGUAAGGCCCUUUCGGGGGUCCCCGAGUGGCGAACGGGUGAGUAACACGUGAUUAACCUGCCCACAACUUUGGGAUAACGCUAGGAAACUGGUGCUAAUACUGGAUAUGUGCUCCUUCUGCCUGUUGGGGGUUGGAAAGCUCCGGCGGUUGUGGAUGGACUCGCGGCCUAUCAGCUUGUUGGUGGGGUAGUGGCCUACCAAGGCGGCGACGGGUAGCCGGCCUGAGAGGGUGACCGGCCACAGUGGGACUGAGAUACGGCCCAGACUCCUACGGGAGGCAGCAGUGGGGAAUAUUGCACAAUGGGCGCAAGCCUGAUGCAGCAACGCCGCGUGCGGGAUGACGGACUUCGGGUUGUAAACCGCUUUCAGCAGGGACGAAGCUUUUUGUGACGGUACCUGCAGAAGAAGCACCGGCUAACUACGUG
rnacentral:rRNA from 1 species